CAACCCUCAAGCCCUGCUUGGUGUUGGGGCCCUACGUCUGACGUAGGCCCUGAAAGGAAGUGGCGGGCUCGCUACAACUCCGAGCGUAGUAAUUCAUUAUCUCGCUAGGGAAGUGUGGCUUGCUCCUGCCGUUAAAGACCCCAUCUUUAACCAA
rnacentral:misc_RNA from 1 species